rnacentral:rRNA from 1 species
UACGUAGGGUGCAAGCGUUGUCCGGAAUUAUUGGGCGUAAAGAGCUCGUAGGCGGUUUGUCGCGUCUGCUGUGAAAUCUGGGGGCUCAACCCCCAGCCUGCAGUGGGUACGGGCAGACUAGAGUGCGGUAGGGGAGAUUGGAAUUCCUGGUGUAGCGGUGGAAUGCGCAGAUAUCAGGAGGAACACCGGUGGCGAAGGCGGGUCUCUGGGCCGAUACUGACGCUGAGGAGCGAAAGCGUGGGGAGCGAACAGG